rnacentral:rRNA from 1 species
UGGGGAAUAUUGCACAAUGGGCGAAAGCCUGAUGCAGCAACGCCGCGUGAGUGAUGAAGGUCUUCGGAUUGUAAAGCUCUGUCUUUUGGGACGAUAAUGACGGUACCAAAGGAGGAAGCCACGGCUAGCUACGUGCCAGCAGCCGCGGUAAUACGUAGGUGGCGAGCGUUGUCCGGAUUUACUGGGCGUAAAGGGUGCGUAGGCGGAUGUUUAAGUGAGAUGUGAAAUACCCGGGCUUAACUUGGGUGCUGCAUUUCAAACUGGAUAUCUAGAGUGCAGGAGAGGAGAAUGGAAUUCCUAGUGUAGCGGUGAAAUGCGUAGAGAUUAGGAAGAACACCAGUGGCGAAGGCGAUUCUCUGGACUGUAACUGACGCUGAGGCACGAAAGCGUGGGUAGCAAACAGGAUUAGAUACCCUGGUAGUCCACGCCGUAAACGAUGAGUACUAGGUGUAGGAGGUAUCGACCCCUUCUGUGCCGCAGUAAACA